rnacentral:lncRNA from 1 species
AACACUUUGCAAACAUAAAUUUUUCAUGAUUUAUAAAUAAGAUUAGUUUAAAAAAAUAUUACAUUAAUUAUUAAAGAUGUAUAUUUAAGUUUUAAGUACAAAAUGAUGCAAAUACAGUAUUCUGAAUUUGAAAAUAAAGUAGUAAGAUUCCAGAACUACUACAUUAUAAAGUUGUACUACCUAAGAUUUGCUUAUAAAUCAAAAUUGCCAAAUGAUUAUAAAACGUUAGGGCCCAAACUGUUGACAUCAUUUUUCAUUACAGUGACAAUGAUCAGAAAAGGCAAUACAAAAGAAUUUAUUUUCUUUUUGUGGUUUCAAGUUGAAGGAAUAUCAACUUUGGGGGCAAAAAGUGUUGAACUAUAUACAGCAGAUGCCUGACCGGUCUGACCUUAUGCAAUUAAUUCAUCCAAAAAUUUACAUGUAAAUUAAAAAUCAUGUAAAUCCAAC